rnacentral:rRNA from 1 species
UACAGAGGGUGCGAGCGUUAAUCGGAAUUACUGGGCGUAAAGCGUGCGUAGACGGUUAUUUAAGUCGGGUGUGAAAGCCCCGGGCUCAACCUGGGAAUUGCAUUCGAGACUGAAUAGCUAGGGUACGGUAGAGGGAAGCGGAAUUUCUGGUGUAGCGGUGAAAUGCGUAGAUAUCAGAAGGAACAUCAGUGGCGAAAGCGGCUUCCUGGACCAGAACUGACGAUCAGGCACGAAAGCGUGGGGAGCAAACAGG